rnacentral:lncRNA from 1 species
AUGUUUCUCCUUCAAGUCCUCGUUUCUCAGGAAACAUGCCGUUUAAGAAUGCAAUCAGCAACCCCGGGUCAGAAUGAUUAUCAGAACAUAUACAGAUAACCAGUGAAAUCAAAUAUAGGCACUUUCAGCACAUAUUCCUACAAGCAAGCAGCACUCCUUAUUUUUUCCAAAGUUCCAAAACAAUAGAACAAACAUCCCUUUGCCACAUUCUACAGUUUCUUCUAUUACAAAGUGAAGCAAAACAAAUUGUGCUGGCUCCAGAUAUAAGCAACAAAACAUGGCAGAAUAAAAGAUUCCACAAUACUAGUAACACCUUCAGAUAUAAAAGCAUGUUGUUGUGCAAUGAAGCAAACCAGAGCGGUACAAUCUACCAGAUUGACAAAGCACAAUGCAUUGCUUGCCAAGAAAUUGCACAUAUAUGUAACAGUUCAGAUUUGCUAAACUAAACAGGGUGCUACUCCUAAAUCUAAAAGGCAUAUAUUACAACUCUUGUCAACUGCUAACACAGACGAUUCCCCUAAUUACACAGCAAGAACACCAAAAGCAUGAAGAUGUUUCUGCUCCGGAAUCGUUAGACCAGCCAUUUGGUCGUUUUGCAUGUUUCCUGGAUGUUGAAAGCAUGCACAUCAUCGAUUGGAACAUCUGCCUCCUUAAAGAGCCACCUAGAUAAGCAAUGGUUUUAUCCUGCAUUCUGAAACAUGUCCAAAUUAGUGCGAGCUGGUUACAUGAAAAGUUAAGAUGUCCCUAGCAAAAAUAGUGUAUUUGCAUACUUGCAUAUCAUCUCGUAAAAAUUCAUAUCAAAGGAACAUCAACAUAUACCUUCAAGAAAAUUGAGCGGCUUUAAACACUAGCAUCUUUGUCUUGGAAUUAACAUGGCCUUAAUAUAGUUCACAAAUUAACAUAGCUAAAUGAAACAAUAUUGCUACAGAUCACUUGAUGAGUUCAGAUUCCUACAUCAUCCCAUGGUAGGCACAAAAGCACACCUACAGGAUAAAAUAAAGAACUAGGACCUAAAAAACUUUGAAGAAAACAAUACGACAUUAAAUAUGGGAAAUGGCAAAUAACCUUCGAGACUGGUGCACCUUCUUAUCCCCCUGAUCUAUUUUCAAGCUUCUUGACCUAUAAGACCAUGUAAAAAAAAUCAUUUGUUGAACUACGAGACCAUGACAUGCUCACAAACAAUUGAGUUAUAUUCACCUAUUUUUUCCCCCUUUUUCCGUUUGUUGUCGGGUGUGAACCCUGCUUCCUCUUUGUGCUAAUAGUGUAUUUACCCAUAACAUUUGUUAAAUCUCAGCUCAACAUUAAUGGUCAGUAAGCUAGUUUAUUACAGCUGCAUACAUUUCUAGUACUCAGUUGUCCCAGCCUGACAUAGAAUUCAACUGGGAUUUUUGUUAGUCAAACAUUCUUGGGCCUCGUCUGGUAUGAAUUUAGUGAAUCACUCAAUCUAUAGACAGUACUUCGAAAUAGUCUAAAUGUCACUUACUCGACUAAAAAUACAUUUUGGUCUGAACUUGCGCUAGUCUGUACAUGUGAUUUUCAACUAUACUAUAUGUAAGAAAGAUUCUAUUACACUCUAUAAGAAAGAUUAUGUGUAUAAUUCAGCUAGAAAUAUUAAGAGAGGAAGCAGCAGACAACAUUUAAACACUGCUAGAUUUUCAUGCUUAGCAAUAUGUUGUAACAGAGUGACUGAACAAGAACUUUUGUCCGCAUAGCAAGCAUUCUUCUAAUUCUGCAAAGAUUAAAAUAUUGAUGCAUAUAUUUGCUCUGAACUAACUUAAACAUCUGCUGGUACUGCAUGGCGAGACAUGAAAUUUCCAUAACCACAACUAACAUUAGAUGUAGUUGUACUUUCCGCUUCUUUUGUUUGUUGUCAUACAGUUGCAACAGCUACUUUCAGUUCAUAAUUUUAGGCACAUCAUAGCAGACUUCAAGGACUGCAUUAUGGAUAGCAAUACACGAUACUAUGAAAUUGGAGGAUGAACUAACCAAAUGCAGUGCAGCUCCUUCAAUAUUUGUUGAGGAACGUGCAGCAGGCAAGUACGGACUACAACUCACGCCUGCUCCAGAAUCGCUAAUGCAUGCAUCUCACUACAAUUGGAGAAAUCGACCGAACGACACCGACUCCCGCAGCGCGGACAUCCAAUCCUAAAAUCAAAUGAGCAAAAUAAAAAAAUCAAGUGCGAGAAAUGACCACAUGCGUAUGGCGAAGGAGGCGCUGCCUCUUACCUGAUCGUCCUUGCCGAGGGUCUCCGGCUCCCGCGACGCGUUUGGCUCCAGCGACGGCGGGGGAAGGUCCAUCUCGACUCCUAUGAAACUGACCGGAUCUGAGCCAAGGAAUCCGCAGGCGCGCGAGCCUUAUAGGUUGCGCUGGAUCUGGGCUAGCAACAGUGGAUGGGGGAAUAUGCCCUAGGCAGCGGCGGCGGCGAAUUGUAUCAGGGAAGAAGCGAACAGAGAAGAUGGAUAUUCACUUCGUCGCUGAAUUAGGGAAUAAAGCAGGGUGUUUUCUGCAUACACUGCAACGCCAAGGGACCCUCUCAAUCCUGUACCACCAGUCCAGAUCGAACGGCCCACCUAGUCUUGUAUCACGGGAGCACCUCAGGUCUCCUAUCAUCAG